GAAAUCUAUUACUGUAAUGGAAACCUGGAAACAAUUUUCAAUUGCACACUGUAUUGAAAUCAUAUCCUUAUCACUGAAAUAACUAAAAAUAUCAACAUUAAAUGUAUGUUGGAGAAAGAUAUGGCCAGCAUCAGUUCAAACAGAAAACAUGCUUGAAUUGGCAGAAAAUGAUCAAUUGGGUGGUAUAUUAGAACUUGCAGAAUUGAUUGGAGGGAAAGGUUUUGUGGCUAUGACUAUUGAAGAUAUUCAAGACUUAUUAGUGGAAGAAGAUGACGAAUUGGAUCUGGUGGAAAUGGUAUCAGAAAUAAAUCAAAUCUAUUCUGAGGAUAACAGCAUUGAUGAAAAUUGUAAAGUUAAUAAUUUAACACUAAAAAAUUGCGUCAAGGC
rnacentral:lncRNA from 1 species